GAUAAUUACCUGUGACACCCAUUGUACACUGUGAGCAGGUAUACAGGCCCACAGAGCAUGCAGAUAAUUAUCUGUGACACCCAUUGUACACUGUGAACAGGUAUACAGGCCCACAGAGCA